UACGUAGGGGGCGAGCGUUGUCCGGAGUUAUUGGGCGUAAAGCGCACGCAGGCGGUCUUUUGCGUUCGGAGUGACAGUCGUCGGCUUAACUGACGAAGCGCUUGGAAAACGGGGAGACUUGAGAGCUCAAGAGGGACACGGAAUUCCGGGUGGAGUGGUGAAAUGCGUAGAUAUCCGGAGGAACACCAACAGCGAAGGCAGUGUCCUGGGAAGUUCCUGACGCUCAGGUGCGAAAGCCAGGGGAGCGAACGG
rnacentral:rRNA from 1 species